rnacentral:rRNA from 1 species
UACGAAGGAUCCAAGCGUUAUCCGGAUUUAUUGGGUUUAAAGGGUGCGUAGGCGGAUUGAUAAGUUAGAGGUGAAAUGUCCGAGCUCAACUCGGGAACUGCCUCUAAUACUGUUGAUCUAGAGAGUAGAUGCGGUAGGCGGAAUGUAUGGUGUAGCGGUGAAAUGCUUAGAGAUCAUACAGAACACCGAUUGCGAAGGCAGCUUACCAAUCUAUAUCUGACGUUGAGGCACGAAAGCGUGGGGAGCAAACAGG